UACAAAUCCUUAUACUUCACCAGUGACUUUAAUUAUAUUACCUAAUAUCCACUAAGCACAUAGUAUGUGUUGCUUCUUUUUAGUAUCAGAUGAUAGUGAUGUUAGAAUCAUGAAACACUUGCAAUUUGGACAUUGUUAUACUGCAACUUAAUUCACAUAGUAUAUGCUGAAAAUAUUAGACUCAUUUUCUUCUAAGUUUCUGUUCUAAAUGAUAGUAAUUGAAGAUACUUUUUCGGGUAGAUGAGCUUAAAAACCUGUCUUCUGUACUAAGUGUGAUUGGCUUAGAAGGAAUUGCACAUUAGUUGCCAGUUCUGGAUUUAUUUGCCCUUUUGAUGUGGGACAAAGAUAGGUUGAGCACAAAGCUUUUAAAAGAUUAACCUGAUAAAACGAGAGAUGCCAGAUCCAAUAUCAACUCGGAUUGCUCAAUAAUUGUGACUAAACAAUCAUAGUGGUAUGAAGAGAAAAAUAAACUCUUGUUUUUCUAAAUGAAAAGUGAAGAGAAAAAUAAACUAAUCAAUUCAAAAACCUAUAAUCUGACAAUAGUUGAACAUUAUCCUAAAUAAGAAAAAAAAAACUAUAACAAUAAUUAGCUGAUACUUAUUUCAAAGAAAUAAUAAGUUGAUACUUAAUAUUCUAACUAAAGUAAUUAGCCUUAGUAAUAUAUAAGUCAUAGUUACAUAAAUAUUUCUUAAAAUAUUAGUGGACUUAAAUCUAGGGUCUGCAUUACUGCACAUCUUCCCAGUGCCAUAAAUACUUAUUGCUGUUUUUGUUCCAUCAUAUCUAACAUUUAAUAUUGAAAUUAAACGAUAUUUCUCCUUUCUGUUAUUUUUAGUUGGUCCCCAUAUUUCUUCCUGUUAAUGUAUUUAUAUUACUUUAAUUAUUCAUAGAAAUGCAAUGUUCUUACUGGCCUUGUAAAUGGAUUUUCCUGGCAGUGGGAAGAUGCUCCCAACCUUGGUAAUACUCACCUGCCGUACAGAUAUUGAAAUAGAGAUUCUUCUGGUUGGACAGCUCUACUGGACUGAAAGUUUUGAUCCAAGUGCAACGGCAGCUUGUAUUUUUCGGAUGUAGUACCUAGCUAGUUGCUGAGGUUACUUGUUUGCAGAUUCAACGUGAACUGUAAAUAUAUGGAUUUGUUGUCUUUGCUUCUCCUUUUCUCCGAGAAAUGUCCUUUUUGCUUCUCUAGUUACUAAUUAUGAGAUUCAUUAGUAUUUUCCUUGAUCUAUCUCCCUCCGUUUAAUUAUUUGAUGUUGCAUAUGCUUGACAUGCAGGAUAAAACAAAAACAUAGAGAAACCUUAACUUUUGUAA